rnacentral:rRNA from 1 species
UAGAGUUUGAUCAUGGCUCAGAACGAACGCUGGCGGCGUGGAUAAGACAUGCAAGUCGAACGAGAGAAUUGCUAGCUUGCUAAUAAUUCUCUAGUGGCGCACGGGUGAGUAACACGUGAGUAACCUGCCCCCGAGAGCGGGAUAGCCCUGGGAAACUGGGAUUAAUACCGCAUAGUAUCGAAAGAUUAAAGCAGCAAUGCGCUUGGGGAUGGGCUCGCGGCCUAUUAGUUAGUUGGUGAGGUAACGGCUCACCAAGGCGAUGACGGGUAGCCGGUCUGAGAGGAUGUCCGGCCACACUGGAACUGAGACACGGUCCAGACACCUACGGGUGGCAGCAGUCGAGAAUCAUUCACAAUGGGGGAAACCCUGAUGGUGCGACGCCGCGUGGGGGAAUGAAGGUCUUCGGAUUGUAAACCCCUGUCAUGUGGGAGCAAAUUAAAAAGAUAGUACCACAAGAGGAAGAGACGGCUAACUCUGUGCCAGCAGCCGCGGUAAUACAGAGGUCUCAAGCGUUGUUCGGAAUCACUGGGCGUAAAGCGUGCGUAGGCUGUUUCGUAAGUCGUGUGUGAAAGGCGCGGGCUCAACCCGCGGACGGCACAUGAUACUGCGAGACUAGAGUAAUGGAGGGGGAACCGGAAUUCUCGGUGUAGCAGUGAAAUGCGUAGAUAUCGAGAGGAACACUCGUGGCGAAGGCGGGUUCCUGGACAUUAACUGACGCUGAGGCACGAAGGCCAGGGGAGCGAAAGGGAUUAGAUACCCCUGUAGUCCUGGCAGUAAACGGUGCACGCUUGGUGUGCGGGGAAUCGACCCCCUGCGUGCCGGAGCUAACGCGUUAAGCGUGCCGCCUGGGGAGUACGGUCGCAAGAUUAAAACUCAAAGAAAUUGACGGGGACCCG